rnacentral:lncRNA from 1 species
CGUAGGAAGUAGUCAAGGAGACUAUCCUUGUUGGACGUUUUAAAAUGGAACACGUUUCGAUAAAUCACUUUCGGAUGGGUACGUGUCACGGAUAAUCCAGAUAAACAGGAAGACAGACAACACUGCUUGUUAAGGUGUGCCAGAAACCAGAGGAUCACGGAAACACACCCAAUAAACCAAUAGUUUGACCAAACUUGGUCAAAAUUUUUUGCUGCGCAACACGCGGCUGUCGUUCGUUAGUCGUUAUCGUAUCUGAAACCGUCCUCGUGAACAGUUACAGAAGCAGUCGUCAAUUCUGCUCCUCUAUAGUUUAGGUGCUCUUGGGUCGUACCUUUGCCAUCACCGCCGUUCAAAUACCUAUUCAUUUAUCAUCUGCCGUCAAUCUUUUGUCAGCAUUAACUUGCUGACGUGGCUUGUCGACCCAGCCUAGGCUGCUUUGAGAUGUCAGAUGCCUAUCUUAUAACUUUUGUCAAAUAAUUAC